rnacentral:rRNA from 1 species
AAAGCAGCCGCGGUAAUUCCAGCUCCAAUAGCGUAUAUUAAAGUUGUUGCAGUUAAAAAGCUCGUAGUUGAAUUUCGGGAUCAGUAUGUUGGUCGUGCUUCGGUACGUACUGUCAUUACUGGUUUCUCCCUUCUGAAGAACCUUGAUGUCAUUAAUUUGGUGUCUUGGGGAAUCAGGACUGUUACUUUGAAAAAAUUAGAGUGUUUAAAGCAGGCAUACGCUUGAAUACAUUAGCAUGGAAUAAUGAAAUAGGACGUUUGAUUCUAUUUUGUUGGUUUCUAGGAUCGAUGUAAUGAUUAAUAGGGAUAGUUGGGGGCAUUAGUAUUCAAUUGUCAGAGGUGAAAUUCUUGGAUUUAUUGAAGACUAACUACUGCGAAAGCAUUUGCCAAGGAUGUUUUCAUUAAUCAAGAACGAAAGUUAGGGGAUCGAAGACGAUCAGAUACCGUCGUAGUCUUAACCAUAAACUAUGCCGACUAGGGAUCGGAUGAUGUUAUUUUUAAUGACUCA